ACGUGCUCGUCUUCACGCAGGUGUUUUUCAAUCAGCUGAUGACCGCUGAUUGCUUCCUCCUCCUCUCCUUAUUUAAGCUUCCUCCAGCCAACAGUUCCGGGAUGUUACUUUGAAGAGAAGCUGCACGAGCCAUGGAACGAAAAAAACAGACGCGAAAAAAGUGUCGCUGCUUAACUACUGAAGCAGUAGUUCCGGGAGAAGGGGAACUUGUGGCGGUAAUGCAACAACCGCCAUAAAACCUCAAAAAAGGAGGAGAGCGAAGAAAAAAAGAAAACUACCGCGGCGUGACGUCAGACGCCGAAACGGCGGCCACGUGCAUCAGCUGCAGCAAGGCCCUCCAGGAUGGCGUGUUCGACCGGGUCCAGAUUGGUGGUCUGUCCAGAAUGGAACAACCUGCUUCCUGCUCACGGAGACCUGGUCGGACCCGCCAUAUACAAAAGCCUGAGGCUGUCAAAAAAAGAUUGAUCUUCAUGAAGCUCGUCAAAUAGUAGGUUUCCUGAUUUAAUUCUGGGUGGCCGCUGUGUCCCCACUCUUUCUUGGCCGCCGUGCCUACACCUCUCUGCAUUGUCCAACAUGGACAGAAAGGACAUGGCCACGUUCUUGCUAUUCUCCAUUCUUCCAUCUGUCAAAUAGCUGAGGGUUGUACAUGGGGCAUUUGCCACAGGUUGGUUUUGUAUGUUCCUGUCCACUUUAUUGGGUGGUCUGAUCUGGUCCUUGUUAGUUAUAUUUUUCUGGAACUGCUGAGCGAGUGAUUUAAAAGAAUGAGGUGACUGAUGGAGUGUUUGAAAUUCUCUCUCUGAAUGAACAGGUUGUGUGUGACUGAGAUACCUGGAUUGAAUAGUUAAGAUGGUCUGAGAAUAUGAUUAUGUUCAGCAGUUCACAUUAAAGUAGAUAUGGUUUCUUGAAAGGCUUAGAUGCUUGAUAAGUUAUAAUGCACUAACAUUUCCUUUUUAGGUCCGUCUACAAAGGGUGAGUCCAUAUUUUUUUAUUCCUCUAUGGAGGCGUUUUCUUGCCUUGCCACCCUUAAAUACUUUUACUUUCCAACUGAUUCUUAAGACGGUAAGUUACACGCAGGCCGCGGGCCAUCGCUCUUCCGGCCGCCGUGUCGAUCUGUCGUGGCUCUCUUGCCUUUCCUUACUUCUACAAGGAAAAACAAAUAUCAACUUCAACCGUUUUCUUCAGCACUAAAAUAUAGUGAUAUUGGAGGACCAGAUCUUAAAUGAGGUUUAAAUGGAUGUUGGUGUACAGUUAAAGCUAGAUGGUAGGAAUAAAAUGAAGGUUGUGCCUUGUACACUCUGUCACAAGGCUUAGACUUCUUGGCCGCUGUGCCUUUUUUUUUUUCCUCUUUUCCAUCGUGGCCAUUAAUCUACCGUUAGCCCUAGAACGUUAAAAUAGAUUACCUGGCUUGGAUGGCAGCCCUGCCAUUGCCUUUAUAUGGCCAUACGUCCCUUAAUGCAAGUAGGCCGUGAUUGCUAACUGUGCCCGCGCCUUCGUGGUCUACUUGUGUUAUUGUAUGUGUGGCCUUGCGCGUAUAGUCAUUUUACAUAGGCAAACAUGGGUGCCUUCCGUGUCCAUGCACAGUAAGUGAACUAACCUGUACUUUUCUUCUAGCAUCAGUCAAGAGGAGCACCGACAUCACUGCAUGUCCACCCUAAUUAGAUUGCGUUUUAGUUUAAACUAACUUUAGUUUCUUGCUUGGCCGCCGUGCCAUUAGGUGUGUGUGUGUGUGUGUGUGUGUGUGUGUGUGU